rnacentral:rRNA from 1 species
GAUGAACGCUGGCGGCGUGCCUAAUACAUGCAAGUCGAGCGAACAGACGAGGAGCUUGCUCCUCCGACGUUAGCGGCGGACGGGUGAGUAACACGUGGAUAACCUACCUAUAAGACUGGGAUAACUUCGGGAAACCGGAGCUAAUACCGGAUAAUAUAUUGAACCGCAUGGUUCAAUAGUGAAAGACGGUUUUGCUGUCACUUAUAGAUGGAUCCGCGCCGCAUUAGCUAGUUGGUAAGGUAACGGCUUACCAAGGCAACGAUGCGUAGCCGACCUGAGAGGGUGAUCGGCCACACUGGAACUGAGACACGGUCCAGACUCCUACGGGAGGCAGCAGUAGGGAAUCUUCCGCAAUGGGCGAAAGCCUGACGGAGCAACGCCGCGUGAGUGAUGAAGGUCUUCGGAUCGUAAAACUCUGUUAUUAGGGAAGAACAAAUGUGUAAGUAACUAUGCACGUCUUGACGGUACCUAAUCAGAAAGCCACGGCUAACUACGUG